CUAGCGACUUCAGAGUUUGAUCCUGGCUCAGGAUGAAUGCUGGCGGCGUGCCUAAUACAUGCAAGUCGAGCGGUAACAGGGGGUCUCACCGUUUCCUUUACACUCCGGGCGGCAUACGCGGGAGGUGAUUUAGAGGGAACAGUGAGACCCUGCUGACGAGCGGCGGACGGCUGAGUAACGCGUGGGAACGGACCCCAAACUGAGGGAUAACUACUCGAAAGAGUGGCUAAUACCGCAUGUGAUCUUCGGAUUAAAGGAUUUAUCCGGUUUGGGACUGGCCUGCGUAGGAUUAGAUAGUUGGUGAGGUAAUGGCUCACCAAGUCGACGAUCCUUAGAUGGUUUGAGAAGAUGAUCAUCCAGACUGGGACUGAGACACGGCCCAG
rnacentral:rRNA from 1 species